rnacentral:rRNA from 1 species
GACGAACGCUGGCGGCGUGCUUAACACAUGCAAGUCGAGCGGUAAGGCCCUUUCGGGGGUACACGAGCGGCGAACGGGUGAGUAACACGUGGGUGACCUGCCUUUAGCUCUGGGAUAAGCCUGGGAAACCGGGUCUAUACCGGAUAUGACUCCGCGGCGCAUGUUGUGGGGGUGGAAAGCCUUGUGCGGCUGGAGAUGGGGCCCGCGGCCUAUCAGCUUGUUGGUGGGGUGAUGGCCUACCAAGGCGACGACGGGUAGCCGGCCUGAGAGGGCGACCGGCCACACUGGGACUGAGACACGGCCCAGACUCCUACGGGAGGCAGCAGUGGGGAAUCUUGCGCAAUGGGCGAAAGCCUGACGCAGCGACGCCGCGUGAGGGAUGACGGCCU